GGUGGUUCUUGGGUGACACACCCUGGAAUCAGGCUCCUUCCUCUCUGGUUCCGGGUGCGUCACCUGAAAACCACA
rfam:Myotis lucifugus cont2.40339, whole genome shotgun sequence.